rnacentral:rRNA from 1 species
AUUUCUGCUCCAUGAGAUUUUAAAUAGCCGCAGUACUCUGACUGUGCAAAGGUAGCAUAAUCAAUUGGCUUUUAAUUAGAGUCUGGUAUGAACGAAUAUAUGGGUUACAGCUAUCUUAGAAUAAUACUUCGAAAUUGGAUGUAAGUGAAAAUCCUUACUUAAAUAAAAAAGACGAGAAGACCCUAGAAGCUUAUAUUAAUAUUUUGUUGGGGCGACAGAAUUACAUUUAACUAAUUCUAAAAAACGGGACGCGGGACUGAUAGAACAAGCUACUCUAGGGAUAACAGCAUAAUUUUUCCGUUUGUGACCUCGAUGUUGGACUAGGUAAAUCAUCCUUUAGAAGAGGAUGUGAUAGCUCUGUUCGAGCGUGUUUAACCU